CAUAAAAGGUCCGCUUCGUAUCGACCAAAAGAAUAAACAGUCACCUUCGGACUCUUUACUUCUCUUCCAAGAACUACACCAGCUAAACUCUCGCACGCACCUCUGUCUCCCUUUAUAUAAAACCUUAACUUCAAAACCCACUCUCUGUUUCUCUCUCUCUAGACUGUAGCGUAGGGUUUUUCUCUCUCGAGAAUCAAUGGGGGAAUUAGAUGCUGGACAUGUUGACUCUUUGCCUACUAGUUCCAGUUCAAGACCUUCAGUGACGAUCGGUUCGUCGCUAAUUCCGGUCAUCAACAAGCUUCAGGACAUUCUUGCACAGGCAAACAGCGAAUUAGAUGUUUCGCUGCCUCAAGUGGCGGUUGUUGGAAGCCAAAGCAGCGGCAAAUCGAGCGUUCUCGAAGCACUAGUCGGCCGUGACUUUCUUCCUCGCGGCUGCGAUAUCUGCACUCGCAGACCGCUCGUGUUGAUGCUCGAGAAUCGCCUGCCCAAACCCGGCGAUGACCGGACCGAGUGGGGCGAGUUUCGCCACUUGCCUGAAAAGCGCUUCUAUGACUUCUCUGAAAUUCGCGCAGAAAUUCAGGCUGAGACGGAAAGAGAGGCAGGAUUGAACAAAGGGGUUUCGGAUAAACAAAUUCGGCUGAAGAUAACCUCUCCAAAUGUUCUUAAUAUGACUCUUGUUGAUUUGCCCGGCAUCACCAAAGUUCCUGUUGGAGAUCAACCUAAUGAUAUAGAAGCAAGGAUUAGGAAGAUGGUUAUGACCCAUAUUUCGCAACAAAACUGCAUUAUAUUGGCAGUUACUCCUGCGAAUUCUGAUUUGGCAACCUCCGAUGCACUUCAGAUGGCAAGAGAAGCCGACCCAGAUGGUUUUCGUACAAUUGGUGUUAUCACCAAGCUCGAUAUAAUGGACAGGGGCACCGAUGCCCGCAGCUUCUUGCUCGGGAAAGUUAUUCCACUAAAGCUUGGUUACGUUGGUGUUGUGAAUCGUAGCCAGGAGGACAUCAAUAAAAACCGUGGCAUUGCUACUGCACUUGCUUACGAGGAGAAAUUCUUCAAUGAUCACUCAGUAUACAGGGGUCUCUCUGAUCACUGCGGCAUCCCCCAGUUAGCAAGGAAGCUGAAUGAGAUUCUGGAGCAGCAUAUCAGAAUGGUUUUCCCUGCUUUGAAGGCUGAUUUGAAUUCUAAAAUGGGUACUGUUUUAAAAGAACUGCAGACAAAUGGAAAACCUAUAGAAUCUAAAAUGGAACAGGGAGUGAUUUUGCUGAACAUUUUAACGCAAUAUUGUGAAGCUUUUGCUGCCAUGGUGGAUGGAAAAAGUCAGGAGAUGUCAACUAAAGAAUUGUCAGGAGGAGCCAGGAUCCACUACAUCCUCCAGUCAAUUUUUGUAAAGUGCUUGGAGGAAGUGGACCCCUGUGAUGAUCUAACUGAUGAUGAUAUUCGAAUGGCUAUUCAAAAUGCUUCUGGUGCAAGAAAUGCUUUAUUUGUGCCUGAGGUCCCAUUUGAAUUUUUAGUUAGGAGACAAAUUGCUCGUCUGUUAGACCCAAGCCUUCAGUGCCUUCGGUUUGUUUAUGAUGAACUCAUGAAGAUAAGCCACGCUUGUGAGGUAACUGAGUUGCAAAGGUUUCCAGUAUUGAGAAAGCAUCUGGAUGAAAUCAUGGUAAAAUUUUUGCGUGAUGGUGUAGAACCUGCUGAGAGAAUGAUAGGAAAUCUUAUUGAGAUGGAGGUGGAUUAUAUAAACACUUCACAUCCAAAAUUUUUAGGUGGGAACAAAGCUGCUGAGCUUGCUCUGCAGCUGUUGAAAUCACCACAGGGUGUUACAGAUGCUGAAGGCCAGACUUCCCAGACAGCUCGAACUAUUCGGUCUGGGCUUUUGAAUGGACUUUUACCUAACCAGGGGAGUCGUCCUCAGCCUAAUAACGAGAAUCAUGUAUCUUCUGGAACUAAGGCUUGGAUUCCAUCUCUAUUCGGAAGUAGGACAUCAGCUGGAGAGCCUAUGGCUUGCAGACCUUUUGGUGAACCAAGUCAUUCAGAGUCAAUGCCCUCUAUAAUCCAUUUGAGAGAGCCACCAUCCAGCUUAAGGCCGGUUCAAAUGACAGAAAAUAAAGCAGUGGAAAUUAUUGUAACCAAAUUACUCUUGCGGUCGUAUUAUGACAUUGUUAGAAAGAACAUUCAAGACCUAGUUCCAAAAGCUAUAAUGCACUUUCUGGUCAAUCUUACAAAACGGAACCUUCAUAGGACCUUUAUUCAAAAACUGUACAGAGAGAACCUGUUUGAAGAACUGCUGCAGGAGCACGAUGCACAUGUUUCACAAAGAAAACGUAACCAAGAAUUAUUCAAGUUGUUGGAGCAAUCUGUGCAGGCACUCGAGAAGGUUGACUUCGAUGUCUCAUCCCAAACUUAAGUUUGGGCACUGAUGCUUCCAUUGGACUGCCAAGGAUUCCAGGGACUUCUGCCCAUCUACACACGACAGUCGGCGGUGAGAUAGGCCAAGUUUCAUACCGUCCGUUUCCCAUGCCAUCCAUGACCAAGUCCACAGCUUGAAGAUCAUUUCAAUGAGAAAAGCCAGGCAUUUUAUCCAAUAUUUACUGGCCAUUUAGAUGAUUACCAUAUAUGAUUUCCAGGUUGUACAGUGUUUUUUCUUCUCCCGUAUGCUUUCUGCAUAUGGAAGCUUUAAAGUUGUACGAUUAAAGAUAAUAAAAAUUUAAUUCAAAAUAGCAGAGUUAUAUUAGUUA